AGGCCACUUAUUAUUUGCAGAUAGCAGGGAUAGCAGUAGUGGGUACAGAAAAUGCAUAUUCCAGAUGCAGCCUUCCAAAUGGCUUACUCCAAUGCCUCAAGCUCUCAGACAACGAACCAGCAUAUUGGCAAUGAAAGCUCCAAGGGUUCCAUCUUUUAUGACUCUAAAACCAAGUGUAAGGAUACAUUUUGUUGGAGCUGCAGCAUGUUCUUUUCUGAAGAUCCCCUCUCCUCAUUAUUGUCCCAGACUCAGAACUACUUCCACUACAUUCAGAAAUGGCAAGAAAUUAGGAUCAGUUUCUCACCCUCCAGGAAACAAGUUUCCUACAGUCACCCAAGGAUUUUCUGUUGAUACAACAAAGCAUGCCACUUUUUAUAUCACUAAAAUGCCCAGAGGUGAUGCUUAAUAUCUCUUAAAUUCUAAGUAUUAAACUUCAGGCUUGUUCUUUAAUUCAUUUGGUCUUUAAUGAAAUGAUACCUAGGCACAGCACUUCCAAAUGAUUUGUUGAAUCCAAUUAAAUGUGAAUGGAAAAAUGUAGACAAUAUAUUUAAAUUUUGGGAAUCAUGUCAAUACUUCUUAUGAUUCUCUCACAAUAUGAAAUUAUUUUUGUUCUCUGUGGUUUCCUAUAAAAUCAUGUAUCAUUGAUGAAUCAAUAAAUGAACUGCUAAACAAUUCAGAAAUGAAUAUUCAGUGCUAAGAAUUAGGAAAGCCUGAAAAAUUCAAAAUAAUCUGUCUUUAUUUUUGUUUGGUGUAAGAUGAGGCACAGAGGCUUUCAAUAUUCUGUUAUUUAACCUACAGUAAUAAAGAGCAUUGCUGGAAA